GCAUCGGGACGGGCCCGCGGCCCAUUAGCUUGUUGGUGAGGUAACGGCUCACCAAGGCGACGAUGGGUAGCUGGUCUGAGAGGACGAUCAGCCACACUGGGACUGAGACACGGCCCAGACUCCUACGGGAGGCAGCAGUGGGGAAUCUUGCGCAAUGCGCGAAAGCGUGACGCAGCAACGCCGCGUGGAGGAAGACGGUCCUCGGAUUGUAAACUCCUUUCAGUUGGGACGAAGCUCAACGGGUUAAUAGCCCGGUGGAGUGACGGUACCUUCAGAAGAAGCCCCGGCUAACUACGUGCCAGCAGCCGCGGUAAUACGUAGGGGGCUAGCGUUGUCCGGAAUCGUUGGGCGUAAAGCGCGUGUAGGCGGUCCGGUAAGUCCGCUGUGAAAGUCGGGGGCUCAACCCUCGAAUGCCGGUGGAUACUGUCGGGCUAGAGUGCGGAAGAGGCGAGUGGAAUUCCUGGUGUAGCGGUGAAAUGCGCAGAUAUCAGGAGGAACACCAAUUGCGAAGGCAGCUCGCUGGGACGUUACUGACGCUGAGACGCGAAAGCGUGGGGAGCAAACAGGAUUAGGUACCCUGGUAGUCCACGCUGUAAACGAUGGGCUCUAGGUGUGGGGGGUGUCGACUCCCUCCGUGCCGAAGCUAACGCAUUAAGUGCCCCGCCUGGGGAGUACGGCCGCAAGGCUAAAACUCAAAGGAAUUGACGGAAUCGA
rnacentral:rRNA from 1 species